rnacentral:tRNA from 1 species
GCCGAGGUGGCGGAAUGGUAGACGCGAUGGUCUCAAAAACCAUUGUCUGAAAGGGCGUGCGGGUUCGAGUCCCGCUCUCGGCA